UUAGAGUUUGAUCCUGGCUCAGGAUGAACUCUGGCGGCGUGCUUAACACAUGCAAGUCGAACGAACCUUCGGGUUAGUGGCGGACGGGUGAGUAACGCGUGGGAAUCUGCCCUCAGGAGGGGGAUAACGGUUGGAAACGACCGCUAAUACCCCAUAUGCCGAGAGGUGAACGAAAUUCGCCUGAGGAUGAGCCCGCGUCUGAUUAGCUAGUUGGUGGGGUAAAGGCCUACCAAGGCAUCGAUCAGUAGCUGGUCUGAGAGGAUGAUCAGCCACACUGGACUGAGACACGGCCCAGACUCCUACGGGAGGCAGCAGUGGGGAAUUUUCCGCAAUGGGCGCAAGCCUGACGGAGCAACGCCGCGUGAGGGAUGAAGGCCUCUGGGCUGUAAACCUCUUUUCUCAAGGAAGAAGAACUGACGGUACUUGAGGAAUAAGCCACGGCUAAUUCCGUGCCAGCAGCCGCGGUAAUACGGGAGUGGCAAGCGUUAUCCGGAAUUAUUGGGCGUAAAGCGUCCGCAGGCGGCCUUGAAAGUCUGUCGUUAAAGCGUGGAGCUUAACUCCAUUUCGGCGGUGGAAACUACAAGGCUUGAGUGUGGUAGGGGCAGAGGGAAUUCCCGGUGUAGCGGUGAAAUGCGUAGAUAUCGGGAAGAACACCAGUGGCGAAGGCGCUCUGCUGGGCCAUAACUGACGCUCAUGGACGAAAGCUAGGGGAGCGAAAGGGAUUAGAUACCCCUGUAGUCCUAGCCGUAAACGAUGAACACUGGGUGUCGGGGGAAUCGACCCCCUCGGUGUCGUAGCUAACGCGUUAAGUGUUCCGCCUGGGGAGUACGCACGCAAGUGUGAAACUCAAAGGAAUUGACGGGGGCCCGCACAAGCGGUGGAGUAUGUGGUUUAAUUCGAUGCAACGCGAAGAACCUUACCAGGGUUUGACAUCCUGCGAAUCCCUUGGAAACUUGGGAGUGCCUUCGGGAGCGCAGAGACAGGUGGUGCAUGGCUGUCGUCAGCUCGUGUCGUGAGAUGUUGGGUUAAGUCCCGCAACGAGCGCAACCCACGUCUUUAGUUGCCAGCAUUUAGUUGGGCACUCUAGAGAGACUGCCGGUGAUAAACCGGAGGAAGGUGUGGAUGACGUCAAGUCAUCAUGCCCCUUACAUCCUGGGCUACACACGUACUACAAUGCUACGGACAAAGGGCAGCAAACUCGCGAGAGCUAGCAAAUCCCAUAAACCGUGGCUCAGUUCAGAUCGUAGGCUGCAACUCGCCUACGUGAAGGAGGAAUCGCUAGUAAUCGCAGGUCAGCAUACUGCGGUGAAUACGUUCCCGGGCCUUGCACACACCGCCC
rnacentral:rRNA from 1 species